CAUGCCAUGAGGUUUUUUUUUCUCUGUUGGGCUGAGUUGGAAAGGCGGGGACUCAAAGGGGGCUGACCAGGGGGGAGUUCUCCCCCCCCCCUCCACCUCCUCUCUUUCCGCAGGCAGGCAGCUGAGUGACACAAUGUGACAGAAGCUGGCUGCUGCCAAACACAUCGUGUCUAUUCAGCAUCCUCUGCCAGGACUUCAGCCCACCUGCCAGACACGUAACCAGGUGGGGAGGAGCCUUGGUGACUGCAGCCUCCCCUGACACUUCAUCAUCGAUUUUCCACAGCGAGAGAGAGAGAGAGAGAGAGAGAGAGAGGGGAAGUGAAAUGUGAUGCAGCAGAAACUACAACAAAUGGAAAAUACAACAAAUAAAGCGGAAACAAAUGGAUGAGUAAAGAUGAAACCCUUAUUGGACUUUUUUAUGAUAUAGUUUUGAGUUCUUAUUAUUAUUAUUUUUAGUAACCUCCUUGUCCAACCUUCUCUAAUUAGAAUGUUCUGUUUUUUUGUUUUACAGGCGUUGUCAAGGCCCUGAUCUACAAGUAUGUGUGCUUAAACGCUUUUCAUCCUGCUCCAGUAAUGACCAACCUUUGGCAGUUAAUGUGUCGUAGACUAUUUUCUCUAUGAUGCCCAAACAACUGUUUGGGGAUCUUGGGAAUUGUAGUCCGUGACACUGAAAUGCCAAAAGUUAUCCAUAACGGCAUUACUGCUCUAGAUAUUUUAUGUUUAUGACUCCAUUAACCCUCUGAGUUUAAACGUUUUAAGGCUUUAAAUGGCAGAGGGGUGUUUAUAUCACUCAGACACUUGAGGAAUUGUACAUUUAAGCCUCUAAUUUUAGUACAGUGUUGAUCUCAGACGUAGUUACAUAACAUGAUGCUAAAAUUACAAAAAAUAAAAAGCAUUAAUUUUAU